rnacentral:rRNA from 1 species
GCUGGCGGCAGGCCUACACAUGCAAGUCGAGCGGAUGAAGGGAGCUUGCUCCUGGAUUCAGCGGCGGACGGGUGAGUAAUGCCUAGGAAUCUGCCUGGUAGUGGGGGAUAACGUCCGGAAACGGGCGCUAAUACCGCAUACGUCCUGAGGGAGAAAGUGGGGGAUCUUCGGACCUCACGCUAUCAGAUGAGCCUAGGUCGGAUUAGCUAGUUGGUGGGGUAAAGGCCUACCAAGGCGACGAUCCGUAACUGGUCUGAGAGGAUGAUCAGUCACACUGGAACUGAGACACGGUCCAGACUCCUACGGGAGGCAGCAGUGGGGAAUAUUGGACAAUGGGCGAAAGCCUGAUCCAGCCAUGCCGCGUGUGUGAAGAAGGUCUUCGGAUUGUAAAGCACUUUAAGUUGGGAGGAAGGGCAGUAAGUUAAUACCUUGCUGUUUUGACGUUACCAACAGAAUAAGCACCGGCUAACUUCGUGCCAGCAGCCGCGGUAAUACGAAGGGUGCAAGCGUUAAUCGGAAUUACUGGGCGUAAAGCGCGCGUAGGUGGUUCAGCAA